rnacentral:rRNA from 2 species
AGCUCCAAUAGCGUAUAUUAAAGUUGUUGCAGUUAAAAAGCUCGUAGUUGGAUUUCGGGAUGGGCCAGUCGGUCCGCCUAACGGUGUGUUUACUGGCUGGUCUGUUCUUCUUCGCAAAGACUGCGUGUGCACUUUACUGUGUGUGCGUAGGAUUUACGACGUUUACUUUGAAAAAAUUAGAGUGUUCAAAGCAGGCAUACCGCUUGAAUACAUGAGCAUGGAAUAAUGGAAUAGGACUUUGGUCUUAUUUUGUUGGUUUCUGAGACCGAAGUAAUGAUUAAGAGGGACAGUUGGGGGCAUUCGUAUUUCGUUGUCAGAGGUGAAAUUCUUGGAUUUACGAAAGACGAACAAUUGCGAAAGCAUUUGCCAAGAAUGUUUUCA